GCCUGGGUGGCUUAUUAGGUUAAGUGUCUGAUUUUGGCUCAGGUAUUGAUCUCAUGGUGGGUUCAAGACCCGCAUUGGGCU
rnacentral:tRNA from 1 species